GACGAACGCUGGCGGCGUGCUUAACGCAUGCAAGUCGAACGGAAAGGCCCUGCUUUUGUGGGGUGCUCGAGUGGCGAACGGGUGAGUAACACGUGAGUAACCUGCCCUUGACUUUGGGAUAACUUCAGGAAACUGGGGCUAAUACCGGAUAGGAGCUCCUGCUGCAUGGUGGGGGUUGGAAAGUUUCGGCGGUUGGGGAUGGACUCGCGGCUUAUCAGCUUGUUGGCGGGGUAGUGGCUUACCAAGGCUUUGACGGGUAGCCGGCCUGAGAGGGUGACCGGCCACAUUGGGACUGAGAUACGGCCCAGACUCCUACGGGAGGCAGCAGUGGGGAAUAUUGCACAAUGGGCGGAAGCCUGAUGCAGCAACGCCGCGUGCGGGAUGACGGCCUUCGGGUUGUAAACCGCUUUCGCCUGUGACGAAGCGUGAGUGACGGUAAUGGGUAAAGAAGCACCGGCUAACUACGUG
rnacentral:rRNA from 1 species